UUCUGCCCGACUGGAGCUUUCUAGGUGGAAAGCUAGGGCCAGAUCCUGGGAUGGGCAGUCCUCAGGGAGGGUACAGCAGUGCUCCCAACUGCCCACACAGCAGACAGGGAGUCCAGUGGAAUGUACUGCUG